CAUUUUUACUUUGCUGCUGCUGCUGCUGGACGACCUGCACCAGGUUUACCUCUAAUUCUAAACUCCCACUUCAUUAGAAAUAAAGCCAGUCUUCACAGAAACAUAAAGGACAUUUUUCUUCAAAUCAAGACUCGUGAGCUAAAAGAGCAGUUGAGGAUGGUCUUACUUCUCCAUGUUCUGAAACCAUUUUAAACAAAAACAAAAAACAGACAACCUUGCAGGAAACUCAGAGUAAAUAGUCUUUGUCUGUUAAGUGAAAUUGUUCCUUAAGAUGGGGAGACUGAGACAGGAUCUUGGCCAGAAGAUUACACACUAUACAUUAAUAGCAAAAUCAGCUAGAAGAUUGAGAGUUUCUACCAUUAGGAAACAUACACAAAUACCAUCACACCCAGAAAAACCCAUCAAAGCUGUUUUGUCAAAAAUGUGCCUGAUAGGUAGGGGCUGGAAAAGAUAAAUGCAAACUGAAUCUGGGGGACAUCUCUUCCUGAAGAGGAAAAAAAAAAGUUGUCGUGCACAGGAAUGUUCCUUUUUAAAAAGAAACCCCUUCGGAGGCACAGAACUUGCCUGCCCGCUCUGAAGAAACAAGGUGGAUUAUUUCAGCUCUCUGGGGCUUGGAACGUGUGUGUGCAAGAGCACCCUGAUAGCUGCAAUAAUAAACAUGUCCAGCUGCAAGAGCUCUGCCUAACAAGCCUGGACAACACAGUCUGAAUUCCUUUCCUUUGACCAUCUUAGAUGUCCCCUGCGAGAGGGGAGUCAGGGAGCCAGCCCUGGAAGGGUCCUCCCAGACCCCCGCAGCCCCGCGCCUCCCCAGAAACACGCGCCCUCCCCCCAGCCCGCCUCUCCACUUUUGUUUUAUUUACGAAUAUGUUGCCAGAAUUCCAAUGAGUUAUCUAUUCUGUGGCCCCGUCAAUUUUCCCACCGAGGCCUUGUCGCCGGCUGACUCAGGGUCCAGUCGCAACAGUGAGAAGAAAAGACCAGAGCAAAAGAAUUCUUUUCAACUUUUUUUUUUUUUUUUUUUUAGGUUUCGCUCAUUUCUCUCUCUGCCUGCCCCCAGCCUCCUUGCGCUCCUUUACCCCUUUCUGUUACAAGAUCGCUCAAAUUGAAGCCCAGGAGGAUCCUAUAGGGAAUGCAUAGGAUCCCUGGGAGAAAAAAGCCCCAACAAGCUAUACACCAGAUGUAUAAUGUUAUAUGGUCAAACUGGCAAACACAAAAGCCGAAAAACAAAAGGCGUGAAUUAGGGAGAGGCAUUCAAAGGCGUGUUUUCAAAACAGCCCAGCCAAAAGCCUGGAUUCCCCUCCUGAGACUAAAUGCUUGAAAGAAAAGGUGCUAAAGAAAGAAAGGAAAAGGAAAAAAAAAAAAAAAAAAGCCCAUUUUUUCUAAUUAGCUGAGGCCUAACAGGCACUGAAUUUCGCAACUAGUUUUCAUCGAGGGGGUUGUGGCUGGUGAAACUGAAAAAAUAUGCUUUUGAAACCUGUGAUGGAGGCUUUCCAUGGACCAAAGCUAGAUUCAGUCCUCGGGCUUUUUUUUUCUCCUCCAUCCCUGGAGUCUUGGGUCCUGCCUUGCUUCCUUGGUCCAUCCCGUUUUCACACCCUUCCCUCUAAAGUACAAAUAUUAUUUAGGUUUAAAAAGAGAGCUGGGUGGAAA